UCUUUAUAUUUCGGCAGUGGAUCUAAGCGAACCAUAACCUCCGUCACCAGAUGUUCCGCUGAUUGCGCAAAAAACGUGUAAGGAGUCGUGCAUCCAGGGAGAAUGCAUAGUAUCUUCUUGGUACAUCUAAACAAAAACAAGGUAUCAAUGGGGAGACAAAGAGCAACAACUAGAGCCGAAUCUUUGGAGGAUACCACCACUGAGGAUCUGAUUACACAUAACGCUUGCGGCACCUUACAUGCUCUAAGAAAUGCACACAAAGUGAAUAUGGCAAGGUUGGAGAGAAAGUACAUCAAGCAACAGGAAAAUUGAUGGGAUAAGUGCCAGCUGUGGGCAAGAAUUGCCUUAUACUAAGUCCCAAGCCCCAAGUGCUCUAGUCAUGAACCAGGAUUCCAUUGUGCUACACGCUGUACAAACACAGAAUGAAGAGAGAGUCCCUGCUCCAAAGAGCUUACCAUCUAAGACAAGAGACACAUGGAUGGAUACAGACAGACCAAUCAUGGGGGAGUAUAAAAACUAAUGAGACAGUCUGAGUCAGCGUGACGGGCAGUGGUCUCAGGGUUAGAAGGAGCCAAGAUGUUCUGACUAGGAUUUGGUAAACUCAUCAUGGUCAGGAUACUUUUGGGCCAGGAAAGUGGAAACCAGUCUCCUUCCAAAAUCAGAAGGACAGUACCAAAUCUUUGAAUUAGUAUUUCAAAUCUUAACUUUAAUAAUUAAAAAUAUAAGAAAAACCAUAUAUCCCAUUAUGGCCAGCAGGCUAAUUCAAUUACUUAGUAACCUACCUGAACAUUUCUUUUAACUCAUUCACCUUCUUCGCGGGAUAUUUGCUGGACUGAUUGUCAUUCAGGAAAGCUCUAGCAUAGGCCAGCGGACCAGCAUUAACCUAAAACCCAAAAUGUGAGAACUCAUUUAUGCUGCAGCUUUUAGGUUAAUUUCAGAGGGUAAUAAGUUUGUUUUAUUAGAAAUAUUACUUAAGCUAUUACUUCAUGCCACAAGAUGUGCAUUUCUAUAUGGUCAUGGGAUAACAAUACUAUAGUACUGUUUAUGUAACGGAACAGAAGGCACCUGUAGUUCAAAAUGUCAGGCUUUUUGGAAUGGAAAAAAUUUCUUUACUGAUAUUCUGAGUCAUUUUCAAUAAGACAUUGUGAUGAUAUUGUCUUGAAAAGUAUAUCUUCAUACAGAAUUAACAAUAUUAAGCAACAUAUUGAAUCUUGACAUCAUAUGAUAUUAUUAACAUUUCCCUUUUUUCCCAGAAAAUGUUUAAAGACAUUAUAUUCGAUAUAUUCCUGGUUUGAAUCUCUUUAAGAGGCCAGCUCCUAAUAUAAACCUUUCAGUCCUGUUCAAAUUCUAUUACUAAUAUUUGUUUUAUUUCCUUCAGGAUGUUUUUCCAAUUUUUUAUUUAUUACCACCAGUCCCAUAUCAUGUGCAUGAAAGAGGGCCUGGCUGUCUUGCAUUUCAUACAGAUAUCUGGGGCCAUAUUAUGUAUUUUAUUAUAUUGACAUGGAGAAACAUACACCCUGUAAACUAAAAAUUACUGAACUUGCACUACGUUAAUAGUAGAUUUAAUAUCCAUUGUCUGCAUCAUCUCAUCCCAUUAUUUUGCUGUUAUUUCACAUUUACAGUCUAAUGAAAUUACACAUUCUAGACAUAAUCUUGAUUGAUGCUUACUUUAUUAAAAAUCUCUUUCAGAGAAGAAAAGCACCAACAAAGCUAUCUGUAUUAGAAAAUUUUACACACGGGUUUGAAGUUUCAGCAAUCUAGAUACACUAAAAAGAAUGCACGAUAGGAGUUUAUCAGCUACAACGGUUUGCUUUAAGGGUUGUGCUAGACUUUACUUUU